GGCUUGUGGCUCAGUGGAGAGUUCUCGCCUAGCACGUGUGAGGCCCUGGGUUUGAUCCUCAGCACCA
rnacentral:tRNA from 1 species